CAGGUGAUAACUUUAGGGUUCCAAAGGGAGGUGUUUCAGGAUUUGAGGGUUGGGGUGAUAAGUUUAGGGUUCCAUACCGGGUGUUCCAGUGCUGUGGGAGGCUCAGGGGAUAGGUUUAGGGUUCCAGACUGGGUGUUUCAGGGUUGGGGGAUAACUUUAGGGUUCCAAAGGGAGGGGUUUCAGUGUUUCAGGGUUCAGGUGAUAACUUUAGGGUUCCAGACCGGGUGUUUCAGUGUUGGGGGAGGCUCAGGGGACAGGUUUAGGGUUCCAUACCGGGUGUUUCAGGGUUCAGGUGACAGGUUUAGGGUUCCAUACCGGGUGUUUCAGUGCUGUGGGAGGCUCAGGGGAUAGGUUUAGGGUUCCAGACCGGGUGUUUCAGUGCUGUGGGAGGCUCAGGGGAUAAGUUUUGGGCUCCAAACCAGGUGUUUCAGGGUUCAGGUGAUAGGUUUAGGGUUCCAUAUCGGGUGUUUCAAUGCUGUGGGAGGCUCAGGGGACA